UGCAGCUCAGUGUUUGUUGCAUUUUAUGUUUUGGUCAUAGAGGGGUUUGUUACUAGCUGCAG
rnacentral:tRNA from 2 species